AGGGUCAUUCUCCUCAUUAUUUCAUUAGGGAUGCAUGUUUUUUUUUCUCAUGUUAAUAUAUUGCAUAUACAAGCCUAAAUUUAUUUUAUUGGAGCCACUUUUGGAUCCAAAAUUCUCAUAAAGUAUGUCAUUGAUGAAAGUUAUAUUCUGGUGUCUUUUAGUGAUCUUCAUGUUUUUCGUACAAAAUAAGAUUGUUAGCUUCUAUGGUAAGCAGUAUUAACUAUCAGGGAUUUGUUUUCAUAUUGCAUGAAAUUUCCACUUUUUUCAUCUUUGAAUAGUCUCAAGCACGGUAAAUAUAAUAGCACUAGAAAGUGAGGAAAUCCACUUUCUUUGGUCAGGUUGGAUUCUCUGCUAUGACUACGAUUUUUAUCUCUAAACAAAUUUUUAAUGGUAUGUAUGAUGUAAAAGGGUAGAUUUAACUAUUUUGGUUUCUUUGUUCUCACACUUUGGCGCCUCGAGUUUUAAUUUUUCAUAGUUGUGUCUGAGUUGUUUUCCAGUUACAAUUCAGGUGCCAUUGGCAACUUCUAGGGGACCAAAAUUGUUUUCAGGUCAAAAUACAGGAACCAAAUUGUAACUAGUCUAGGAGAUUACAUUACCAAAGUAGGAAAGUUCGGUCUUGAUUCAUAGUUUGGCAACAUAAUAUGCAUGUAGGAUGUUGUUUUGGAACCGCUUGGUAAGUGUUAAAUACAUCCUAUAACAUAACUAACUAACAAGUAUGGCCGUUCAGAUAUACAUGCAAUUGAGAUCACUGAUUAAAUCAGAUUUCUUUUAAAUGGAAGCAAAUCUUGCCUAUUAGGUGUUUUUGAAAAUUCCCCAGAGAGUUAGAAACAAGGAUAUGAUGCAAAUCUGAAUGUAGGCUGUUUUGGUAUGUGUGUGUACGUAUAGGGGUGUUAUAUUGAUAUGACAUGCUACCCAAUUUAUCUAUUUUUCGAUUGUUCAAUCAAAGAAGGAAGUUCAAUUUAUCAAGGAUCAAGGUUUGGACUACUAGACAGCACGCCGACUUCGAUUUGAGGUUCAACAACAGGUUGCUGAAAUGAUCACUUAUAUAGCCUCUACUGCAAAACAAUUUCCUAAGAAAUGUGUAUUACUUUGUCUUCUGGGUGAGCAUUCUCUAAUUUAGAUUAGACAUCGGGACUCAAACCUUGGUUUGUUUUCUGUGUCUCCUUCACUGUAUAUGUUCUGUGGAUGAACAAUUAGAUGUCAACUCUAGCAUUUAAUGGUGUUGUGCACUUUGACAGGUAUAGGUGAAUGGCUCACAGAGUUUUCUGAAUCUGUAGGUCCAAUGGGCCCUCAUGACACUGUUAUAUCCAAACCAAAGUUUGGCGAAUUUGAUAUAUGUUGGAUACAAUGGCAGUCCUGCUUCAGCUAUCCAUGUUACUAGAAGAAGAUCAGUAGAUCAUAAAAGGCAAAAAACAGAAAGAAAUGUUAGCUACUUCGUUUUUGGUCCUAAAAAUGCAGGAAAAUCCCCUCUUUUAAAUUCAUUCAUAGAAAGCUU